AUCGAACGCUGGCGGCAGGCUUAACACAUGCAAGUCGAGCGAGCGGCGGACGGGUGAGUAAUGCCUGGGCAACUUCCUGAUGGAGGGGGAUCACUACUGGAAACGGUAGCCUAUUCCGCAUUCCAUCUUUUUUGCCCAGAUGGGAUUAGCUAGUAGGUGGGGUAAUGGCUCACAAAGGCGAUGAUCCCUAGCUGGUCUGAGAGGAUGAACAGCCACACUGGAACUGAGACACGGUCCAGACUCCUACGGGAGGCAGCAGUGGGGAAUAUUGCACAAUGGGCGCAAGCCUGAUGCAGCCAUGCCGCGUGUGUGAAGAAGGCCUUCGGGUUGUAAAGCACUUUAAGCGAGGAGGCGUUACUAGCAGAAGAAGCACCGGCUAACUCCGUGCCAGCAGCCGCGGUAAUAC
rnacentral:rRNA from 1 species